GCCUCAGUCCCAGUGUUUGCCCUUCCCUGGCUCCUUCUGGUUCAGUCCCAUUAGGGCCCUGGAGCCCAAGACCCAGCACCCAAGGUCCCCUCCAGGAAUCCUGGCGGCUUGGCUUCCUUUAUCAUGUUUCAUCUGAGAGCAAAAAUGUCAGAUCGGAUGCACAGAAAAAUGGCCCAAAUUGUUUAAUGACUAGAAGAAAUAUAGGAGCAGCAAGAAUGUAAUGUGAAGAGGGGAGGGCCUCCAUGACCGGUGUCUGCAGAGCCAAGGGUACAGGCACCCAGUGUUGUGGCCUGGCACCACUGGCCUCUCAGAGGGUGGGUAGCACACUGUCCUUACCCGGAGGACAGCAGGCCUGAUCACCAGCUUUUCUACCUGUCCCUGUAAGCAUCACAUUGCUAGAAGAAAAUCUCAUGCCAGAGCUUAGACCAUCCCUAGCUCAGAGGUUAGGGGUUGUCUCUUGGUGACCUAAAUGAAAAAAUAGGUCUAGAUCAGAGUUCCUGACGCAGAGCACUCAUCCACUCUUUGAAUCGUUGGAGGAGAGGCCUGGUUUUAGGUAAACCUAACCUCUUUGAGGAACCACAGUGCCCAAGACUGGAAACCUUCAGAAUCUGCUGGCCCCCAACCCUCCCUGGGGACCCCUGUGGCCUAUCUCACCAGAGCACUCUUCUGUCUGUAGAUGUCUCAGCUGCUCUACAAGGGAGUCCCAUUUCAGGUGUGGGGCUGGGCAUGGUCACUCCUGCUGGAUGUCUAGAAGAUGGAAACUAAGGACCUAGGAAAAUGCCAGAUACAGCCUUUCCACCCUCAUCCAGAGCAGGACAAACAGGCCAGGUGGUGUCAGGAGCCCAGGUCUCCAGCUGGAGGGAACGUCAACCCUGCAGUGGGAGCAGGGGCCCAUCGCACAUCCUAGGCACAGAUGCUAAUGUAGGCACUGCAGGUAAGCUGGGCUUGGUACCCUUCCCUGGCUUCAGAAAGAAGCCAACAAGGAGCAUUUUGCAGAAUGAAACCUCUUUUCCAUCCAGAAGCACUGCUGACUGUAGGUGGUUGCUGUUUGUGGCAGUGAGCAUUUUGUCCAUUCUGAGGUUGGAUUGGUUUCUUCUUUUGGCCUUGCCCUGCCCUACAGACCAUAAAGGAGAACAGCAAGAGGCCCCCAGCAAACAUCCACAGAUGGCCCUGGACAUCAGCCACAUUCUGAGAAACAUGUCAUGUUCUGGGAGGGCUAAGGCAUCAAGUAAGGCCUGUGGGGCUGGAGGAUCCCAGGCAAGGUGGGGCAAUCCAGAGCCAUGGGGCCUUCCCAUGGGGAUUGGGAGGUCCCAAGGCAGAGUCAGAGGUUCCACAGGAGGAGUCACAGAGUCACCAAGGGCUCUCCUGGCCCAGGGAGCAGUCAACACCAUGGACUGAACACCUGCUGGGCUCCAAGCCCUGGGCCAGGCUGCCCAUGUGGGGCCAGGAGGCAGCUCAGAGUGGGAGGCAGAGAAGUGUGCUCAGAGGGCACCUGUAUCUGGAUGUAAUGUGGUCCUGAGACUGGCUGAGAAGUGCUUCCAGGGUAUCAUAUGUGUUAUGCAGUUACUUCCUCUCCCCAGCCUUACCCUGUAGAAAUUCUAGUGACUAUGUUGCCACCAUCUUGGAGCUCCAUGCCCUCAUAGUGUAAUGGCACCAGCAGAUCUGCCUGUGCAUGGACUUCCUGUACUACCUCACUCCUGAGGGGAGAUGUUUCUGCAGGGCCUAUGACCUGGUGCACAACUUUAGACACCAUCAUCCUGGAGCAGCACUGCACCCUCACUAGCCAGGGUGUUGACAUCCUCAAGGCCAGGGCCACAUUCAAGACUUUGGACUUCAUUGACGCACUUUUGCUGAGCAAGGUGGGCAUCUCUGGUAUCUUAAUUCAGGAGGCAGAAUACAGCUUGAGAUCAGGUGUCUGAUCAAAGAACUUGAACUUGAUCUGGAGGGCUCUGGGGAGCCAUGGAAGGUUCUGGAUAAAGGAGGGACAGUCAGCCACGUUUUAGAGAUGACUGUGGAAGUCUUCCUGGAAGGAGUGAACAAGAGCCAGGAGACCAGGGAGGGAGCUUCUGGGGCAGGUCUGGAGAUGGCAAGGGAGGGAUCCUGCUUGGAUGAAAAGUCUUCAGGGAUGAUCUCUGGUUACACUCAGGUGCCCUCUGAGUUAGUGUGUUCUAAGAAAGGGGUUUUAAGCCUCCUAUUGUGGCUUAUCCCUGACAGUGUCAGCACCAGCUCCCCUAACCCCACAGCUCAGGGUCCACUUUGCUUCUGUAUCCUGCAUGUUCCCCUUUCCUGCUGAAAGGCAGAUUCCCCAAUGAGCAGCAGAAUCCUGUUUCUCCCUGCAGGCCCCUCUGCUCCUUAUGAGUGGUGUUUUGUGGGAUUCCUCCCUUGGUGGAUGAGAACACCCUUUCCCGUUCCACAGGGAUUGUUUCUGUGGACCUUACCCCAGGUUUUCCCCUGGUUGGGCACCGGGCAGGUGAGGGUGGUGGGACCAACUCUUUAGAACCAGCAAUGCCAAACAGAUCCCACUCAGGGGAAGUCCAUGCUAAGUGUCAUGGGUCCUAUGGAAUUUUCUGAAGCUUUCCUUUUCUCCCCCACCUUCAACCAGCUUAUCUGAUCUCCUGGGAUCUCUACUAGGAUGCUGGCAGCCCAGCCGGCUGGUCUGGCCCUGGACGUGCUUUCAGGGGCUGAUUAUGCUUCAUGACCUGUGUUGUGAUCCUGGUCAGAGUAAAACAUUCCAUGGGAACUCGGGCUGUGAGAAACAUCCUAACCACCUGACUGCAGAAACAUCCUUAUCACAUCCUGCUGGGCAAAGGCCCAACAGCCUGACUUCAGGAACAUCCUUAUCAUCUUCUACUGAGCAGCAAGCGAUACUGUCCAGAGCCCUCCCUCCCAGCCCCAUGAUUACCCCAGCCUGUAAGCGGCAGUGGGCG
rnacentral:lncRNA from 1 species